rnacentral:rRNA from 1 species
UACGUAGGGAGCAAGCGUUGUCCGGAUUUAUUGGGCGUAAAGAGCUCGUAGGCGGUUUAGAAAGUCAGGUGUGAAACCUCCAGCUCAACCUGGAGACGCCACUUGAUACUUCUAUGACUUGAGUUCGGUAGGGGACCAUGGAAUUCCUGGUGUAGCGGUGAAAUGCGCAGAUAUCAGGAGGAACACCGGUGGCGAAGGCGGGUCUCUGGGCCGAUACUGACGCUGAGGAGCGAAAGCGUGGGGAGCGAACAGG